rnacentral:rRNA from 1 species
CACCGGCGGCUCGAGUGGUGGCCACUUUUAUUGGGUCUAAAGCGUCCGUAGCCGGCUUGGCAAGUCCCCUGGGAAAUCUGGCGGCUUAACCGUCAGGCGUCCAGAGGAUACUGCCAGGCUUGGGACCGGGAGAGGUGAGAGGUACCUCAGGGGUAGGGGUGUAAUCUUGUGAUCCCUGAGGGACCACCAGUGGCGAAGGCGUCUCACUAGAACGGGUCCGACGGUCAGGGACGAAAGCUGGGGGCACGAACCGG